GGGAAUAUUGGACAAUGGGCGCAAGCCUGAUCCAGCCAUGCCGCGUGAGUGAUGAAGGCCUUAGGGUUGUAAAGCUCUUUUGCCGGGGACGAUAAUGACGGUACCCGGAGAAUAAGUCCCGGCUAACUUCGUGCCAGCAGCCGCGGUAAUACGAAGGGGACUAGCGUUGUUCGGAAUCACUGGGCGUAAAGCGCACGUAGGCGGAUUCGUAAGUCAGGGGUGAAAUCCCGGGGCUCAACCUCGGAACUGCCUUUGAUACUGCGGGUCUUGAGUCCGAUAGAGGUGGGUGGAAUUCCUAGUGUAGAGGUGAAAUUCGUAGAUAUUAGGAAGAACACCGGUGGCGAAGGCGGCCCACUGGAUCGGUACUGACGCUGAGGUGCGAAAGCGUGGGGAGCAAA
rnacentral:rRNA from 1 species